CGUACCUACGGGGGGCAGCAGUGGGGAAUAUUGGGCAAUGGGCGCAAGCCUGACCCAGCAACGCCGCGUGAAGGAAGAAGGCUUUCGGGUUGUAAACUUCUUUUAUGAGGGACGAAAGAAAUGACGGUACCUCAUGAAUAAGCCACGGCUAACUACGUGCCAGCAGCCGCGGUAAUACGUAGGCGGCAAGCGUUAUCCGGAUUUACUGGGUGUAAAGGGCGAGUAGGCGGGACUGAAAGUCAGAUGUGAAAAUUAUGGGCU
rnacentral:rRNA from 1 species